AUCUUAAUGUUGUUCACUUGAGUGAUGAUAUUAUAAGGAAAAGUGUAAUAUCACAGGAUAUUUAUGUUUAGUAACCAGUAAUUCAGAGAUUGGUAUUCAUGGUUACUAUAACGAGGCUGUAGAAACGCACCCUUUCUUCUUUGCAAAUGGUCCUGUAUUUAUGUCUAAGCCGAAACUGGAACCUCUGAAUAAUUUAGAUUUAUUCUUGUUAUUUUCUAAAAUACUUAUCUACAGUAUACCAUAAGGAAUGAUACCGUAUCGCACCUAAUCAAGUGCCUUAAGAAACAUCAACAGGAUAUCACAGUAAUCCCGUAUCGACUGAUAUUUGUAGCCACUACAAUAUCUAUGACACUGGUAGUAAUUAUGAGAACAAUAAUGAUGUGUUCUAUAAGAGGAAAUGAUGAUUAGGAACAAAAACUUACAGGUAAGUCAAAGUAUAUGUUAUUUGCCAUUUGAAAAGAAAGUUACUAACUUGGAAUUUUUUGAUAAAUAAUAAUUGUAUCAUACGUACUUUUGAAUUCGUGCAAGAACAUAUGUAAUUUUGAAGUAGUUAUUAUUAGGAAAUUGUUAGACGCGAACAGUAUGCGAAAAGUUAGUAUGCAGUGUAAUAAUUAUCAAUCAAAACACAAGAAUUAAAUUCUUGAGGAAAAAAUUUCCGGAAUUUCUUAUUUACAUGAUUAUAAAGAAAUCCAUAAUAAAAAGGAGCUGCUUUCUAA